UACAAGUCUCUUGGAAUAGAGCGUCAUAGAGGGUGAGAAUCCCGUCUCUGACACGGACUGCCAGUGCUUUGUGAUACGCUCUCGAAGAGUCGAGUUGUUUGGGAAUGCAGCUCAAAAUGGGUGGUAAAUUCCAUCUAAAGCUAAAUAUUGGCGAGAGACCGAUAGCGAACAAGUACCGUGAGGGAAAGAUGAAAAGCACUUUGGAAAGAGAGUUAAACAGUACGUGAAAUUGUUGAAAGGGAAACGCUUGAAGUCAGUCGCGUCUUCUGGGACUCAGCGUGGCUUCUGCCUCGUGUACUUCCCAGUCGACGGGUCAACAUCGAUUUUGGUUGGCGGAUAAGGGCGAGAGGAAUGUGGCACCUCCGGGUGUGUUAUAGCCUCUUGUCGGAUGCGCUGGCUGGGAUCGAGGACCGCAGCACGCCUUUUUGGCCGGGGUUUACCCACGUAACGUGCUUAGGAUGUUGGCAUAAUGGCUUUAAGCGACCCGUCUUGAAACACGGACCAAGGAGUCUAACACGCCUGCGAGUGUUAGGGUGGAAAACCCUUGCGCGUAAUGAAAGUGAAAGUUGGGACCUCUGUCAUGGAGGGCACCGACGCCCGGCCCUGAACUUCUGUGACGGCGCUGCGGUAGAGCAUGUGUGUUGGGACCCGAAAGAUGGUGAACUAUGCCUGAAUAGGGCGAAGCAGAGGAAACUCUGGUGGAGGCUCGUAGCGAUUCUGACGUGCAAAUCGAUCG
rnacentral:rRNA from 1 species